AUCCAGCUGAGAGACGAGUCCCAAAUAGGUCGAAAUGCGCAUCCUGGAU
rfam:Trichobilharzia regenti genome assembly, scaffold: TRE_scaffold0071558